AUGGACAUGAGGGCCACUGCUCAGUUUCUUGGGUUCUUGUUGCUAUGGUUUCCAGGUGCCAGAUGUGACAUCCAGAUGACUCAGUCUCCAUUCUCCAUGCCUGUCUUUUUGGGAGACAAAGUCACUAUUACUUGCCAGGCAAGUCAGGACAUUGGGAAUAAUUUAAGUUGGUUCCAGGAGAAGGCAGGGAAAUCUCUGAAAAGCCUGAUAUAUGGUGCCACCAACUUGGAAGACGGGGUCCCAUCAAGGUUCAGUGGCAGUAGGUCUGGGUCAGAUUAUUCUCUCAGCAUCAGCAGCUUGGAGUCUGAAGAUAUGGCAAUCUAUUACUGUUUACAGUCUGCUGAGUAUCCUCUCACAGUGAUACAAGUCAUAACAUAA